rnacentral:rRNA from 1 species
AACCUGGGGAAACCCAGGCUAAUACCGCAUACGCCCUACGGGGGAAAGCAGGGGCUCUUCGGACCUUGCGCUAUCGGAUGAGCCUAUGUCGGAUUAGCUAGUUGGUAGGGUAAAGGCCUACCAAGGCGACGAUCCGUAGCUGGUCUGAGAGGAUGAUCAGCCACAUCGGGACUGAGACACGGCCCGAACUCCUACGGGAGGCAGCAGUGGGGAAUAUUGGACAAUGGGGGCAACCCUGAUCCAGCCAUGCCGCGUGUGUGAAGAAGGCCUUCGGGUUGUAAAGCACUUUCAGCGAGGAAGAAGGCCUGGUGGCCAAUACCCACCAGGAAGGACAUCACUCGCAGAAGAAGCACCGGCUAACUCCGUGCCAGCAGCCGCGGUAAUACGGAGGGUGCGAGCGUUAAUCGGAAUUACUGGGCGUAAAGCGCGCGUAGGUGGCUUGAUAAGCCGGUUGUGAAAGCCCUGGGCUCAACCUGGGAACGGCAUCCGGAACUGUCAGGCUAGAGUGCAGGAGAGGAAGGUAGAAUUCCCGGUGUAGCGGUGAAAUGCGUAGAGAUCGGGAGGAAUACCAGUGGCGAAAGGCGGCCUUCUGGACUGACACUGACACUGAGGUGCGAAAGCGUGGGUAGCAAACAGGAUUAGAUACCCUGGUAGUCCACGCCGUAAACGAUGUCGACUAGCCGUUGGGUCCCUCGCGGACUUUGUGGCGCAGUUAACGCGAUAAGUCGACCGCCUGGGGAGUACGGCCGCAAGGUUAAAACUCAAAUGAAUUGACGGGGGCCCGCACAAGCGGUGGAGCAUGUGGUUUAAUUCGAUGCAACGCGAAGAACCUUACCUACCCUUGACAUCCUGCGAACUUGGUAGAGAUACCUUGGUGCCUUCGGGAGCGCAGAGACAGGUGCUGCAUGGCUGUCGUCAGCUCGUGUUGUGAAAUGUUGGGUUAAGUCCCGUAACGAGCGCAACCCUUGUCCUUAUUUGCCAGCGGGUAAUGCCGGGAACUCUAAGGAGACUGCCGGUGACAAACCGGAGGAAGGUGGGGACGACGUCAAGUCAUCAUGGCCCUUACGGGUAGGGCUACACACGUGCUACAAUGGUCAGUACAAAGGGUUGCCAACUCGCGAGAGUGCGCUAAUCCCAUAAAGCUGAUCUCAGUCCGGAUCGGAGUCUGCAACUCGACUCCGUGAAGUCGGAAUCGCUAGUAAUCGUGAAUCAGAAUGUCACGGUGAAUACGUUCCCGGGCCUUGUACACACCGCCCGU